AUACGUAGGGGGCGAGCGUUGUCCGGAAUGAUUGGGCGUAAAGGGCGCGUAGGCGGCCCGGUAAGUCUGGAGUGAAAGUCCUGUUUUUAAGAUGGGAAUUGCUUUGGAUACUGUCGGGCUUGAGUGCAGGAGAGGUAAGUGGAAUUCCCAGUGUAGCGGUGAAAUGCGUAGAGAUUGGGAGGAACACCAGUGGCGAAGGCGACUUACUGGACUGUAACUGACGCUGAGGCGCGAAAGUGUUGGGAGCAAACAGGAUUAGAUACCCUGGUAGUCCACACUGUAAACGAUGAAUGCUAGGUGUAGGGGGUAUCGACCCCUUCUGUGCCGCAGUCAACACAAUAAGCAUUCCGCCUGGGGAGUACGUUCGCAAGAAUGAAACUCAAAGGAAUUGACGGGG
rnacentral:rRNA from 1 species